rnacentral:rRNA from 1 species
AUUGUAGGCUGCAACUCGCCUACAUGAAGUUGGAAUCGCUAGUAAUCGCGAAUCAGAAUGUCGCGGUGAAUACGUUCCCGGGUCUUGUACACACCGCCCGUCACACCACGAGAGUUUACAACACCCGAAGUCAGUGGCCUAACCGCAAGGAGGGAGCUGCCUAAGGUGGGGUAGAUGAUUGGGGUGAAGUCGUAACAAGGUAGC